rnacentral:rRNA from 1 species
CCUACGGGAGCUGCAGUGGGGAAUAUUGGACAAUGGGCGAAAGCCUGAUCCAGCCAUGCCGCGUGUGUGAAGAAGGCCUUCGGGUUGUAAAGCACUUUCAGUGGGGAAGAAAGCCUUGGGGCUAAUACCCUCGAGGAAGGACAUCACCCACAGAAGAAGCACCGGCUAACUCCGUGCCAGCAGCCGCGGUAAUACGGAGGGUGCGAGCGUUAAUCGGAAUUACUGGGCGUAAAGCGCGCGUAGGCGGUCUGAUAAGCCGGUUGUGAAAGCCCCGGGCUCAACCUGGGAACGGCAUCCGGAACUGUCAGGCUAGAGUGCAGGAGAGGAAGGUAGAAUUCCCGGUGUAGCGGUGAAAUGCGUAGAGAUCGGGAGGAAUACCAGUGGCGAAGGCGGCCUUCUGGACUGACACUGACGCUGAGGUGCGAAAGCGUGGGUAGCAAACAGGAUUAGAUACCCCGGUAGUC